CAGAGGUUGCAAGAGGGAAGAGAAAGCUGCAGCUUCAAGGAAAGUGGAGAGGCGUUGAUCCAGUUGUUUUUUUAAAUAGCGAUGCCAUUAUAAAUGGAAUAAAAACAUUUUAUGGCAUCAAAGAAUCGUUUCCAUUUAGUGGUUACCUUGUUACAAGAAAUAGUGAUACUAAUCAUGUGAAGAGAAUUUACUAUGUAUCAGACUCUGUGAAGGAUGUGCUGAAGCUUAACUUCCUUGGAGGGGAGCAACUGAAGAUAACUUCCAUUGGCCUAAAGAUGUUUGUAAGUUUCCUAUUUAGAAAUUAAUGUUUGUUCAGCAUGGAAAAUAUAUUCUUCCUGCUUGAUGUUAAAUAAGUAAAAGUUCUAAUGAACUCCUUGAGACGGACUGUUGGAGUCCCCUUGGAAUCAGAAAGAUUACAUUUUAAUUUUACUUGUAUGACUUCUCGUUGAUCAUGUGAAUUCUUUUAUAAUCCAGGAAAGACAGACAUCAAAGGAAGGGAAUAAUGCUGCCAUGUUCCGUAUAUCAUCUGAAGGGCUGCCUCUACUUCUUCCACAUAUAACAAAACAAGUUAUAUCUGCAAAAGAAAUCGACUUUAACCAUCUUCUGCAGUAUAAAACCAUUAAGUUUGCAGAUUUUGUUGAUGCUGAAUUCGGCGAAAAGGCAUCAAAACUUCUGUUGGGUUGCUGUGUGGUGGUUUUGAAUAAAGGUUUUUCGAAUAUUAUCUUUAACUUGGUAAAUUUAGUUAUUGGAUCUGGCGAAUGUGCAUGAACCAAACAUUGAUAUCUUUAUCUUCCAUUUGCAGGCUGCGAAAUUGUUCAUGAUCCCCCGCAUGUUAAUGCUUCUACAAUUGCUAUUGGUUGCUGGAGAGGUAGGACUAAUGUUGCUGUAAUGGUAACCGCUAUAGACUGCCAAGAACUUCUUGAAAGACUAGUACCGAAAACAGAUAAAGUAAACGGCUCUACACCAGAUGGUUGCAAGCCUCCCAUUGCUGAUGAUGCUGUAACAAAAGUGAACGGCGUUGACAGUGAGGACAUUGUUACACAUACACCAGAUAUUAGCGGUUGAGUUUUAUUUUUCGCCAACACUAUGUUAAAAGAUUUUGCACCAUACUUCAAUGGACUUGAUGGAAUUUAUAAGAUUUCUUUUGCAUGCAAUAUUUUAGAACAUUUGUACUGCAUGAUUUAUUUGGUUAAAUGUGCAAAUUAUUUAUAAAAUAUGUUAUCAUAAUUUUGGUUAAUAUUACUAUUAAAUCGAACAUAUUAUUUUGUAUUAGCUAGAAUACAACCGAUUUCUCACUUCCAUUCGUGAGAAAAAUGCAAUCUGACAUCAAAUUUAUACUAUCUCGUCCAAAGCCCUUUGUACCUACUUGUAUAAGAAUAUAUUUCAUUAAAAAGAAUUUUCUUUGAAGAUUAUCAUCUAAUUAAUUGAAAUUAAAACAAGAUAUUUUUGGACGUUUAUAAAAUAUAAUUUAUUUGUCUGAAAUAGAAAUUUAUUAGCUCCACUACACAUUACCUGAAACAAAAUAUCAAAAUAAAUAAAAUUUUGACUUNGCAAGAGGGAAGAGAAAGCUGCAGCUUCAAGGAAAGUGGAGAGGCGUUGAUCCAGUUGUUUUUUUAAAUAGCGAUGCCAUUAUAAAUGGAAUAAAAACAUUUUAUGGCAUCAAAGAAUCGUUUCCAUUUAGUGGUUACCUUGUUACAAGAAAUAGUGAUACUAAUCAUGUGAAGAGAAUUUACUAUGUAUCAGACUCUGUGAAGGAUGUGCUGAAGCUUAACUUCCUUGGAGGGGAGCAACUGAAGAUAACUUCCAUUGGCCUAAAGAUGUUUGUAAGUUUCCUAUUUAGAAAUUAAUGUUUGUUCAGCAUGGAAAAUAUAUUCUUCCUGCUUGAUGUUAAAUAAGUAAAAGUUCUAAUGAACUCCUUGAGACGGACUGUUGGAGUCCCCUUGGAAUCAGAAAGAUUACAUUUUAAUUUUACUUGUAUGACUUCUCGUUGAUCAUGUGAAUUCUUUUAUAAUCCAGGAAAGACAGACAUCAAAGGAAGGGAAUAAUGCUGCCAUGUUCCGUAUAUCAUCUGAAGGGCUGCCUCUACUUCUUCCACAUAUAAC
rnacentral:lncRNA from 1 species